rnacentral:rRNA from 1 species
GAUGAACGCUGGCGGCGUGCCUAAUACAUGCAAGUCGAGCGAACAGACGAGGAGCUUGCUCCUCUGACGUUAGCGGCGGACGGGUGAGUAACACGUGGAUAACCUACCUAUAAGACUGCGAUAACUUCGGGAAACCGGAGCUAAUUCCGGAUAAUAUAUUGAACCGCAUGGUUCAAUAGUGAAAGACGGUUUUGCUGUCACUUAUAGAUGGAUCCGCGCCGCAUUAGCUAGUUGGUAAGGUAACGGCUUACCAAGGCAACGAUGCGUAGCCGACCUGAGAGGGUGAUCGGCCACACUGGAACUGAGACACGGUCCAGACUCCUACGGGAGGCAGCAGUAGGGAAUCUUCCGCAAUGGGCGAAAGCCUGACGGAGCAACGCCGCGUGAGUGAUGAAGGUCUUCGGAUCGUAAAACUCUGUUAUUAGGGAAGAACAAAUGUGUAAGUAACUAUGCACGUCUUGACGGUACCUAAUCAGAAAGCCACGGCUAACUACGUG